CGCCUCGCAAAUUGAUGCUUCCUUCGUCAAUCCGGUGAAAACAUAAUGUUCUGCUCCCCUUCGUCAACCCGUGAAAACCGCACAUCCAAAUCUCCCACGGGAUCCUCGCCUUUAGCUCAGCAUGCCCGUGCAUGAAGCACGAUCGCAUGGCAGCAGGUCCACGGAGCCGUACCCGCAGAACACAUCCACCCCUCCAGGCCACCGACCCACCAUGUGUGGUGCGUCCUGUCCCCUCGAUCUUCCCACCGCCUCCUGCUCCGUCUGCGGCCGGGAGGAGCUGCUAGGCGGGCGUUCUCGCGCGGAGCAGUAGCAAGGGCUUGCAUCUGACGCCGGCUGAUGGAAGGCGGCGGUGUGGAGGUGCUCGGGCGAGCGCCCAGGGCUUGCCCGCCUAGAUCUGGGAGAGAUCGAGGGGGAUUUGGUGGUUAAAAGUUUGCAAGCUCAAUGCGACAUUAAAAAAACCAGAGAUGCGAGUUCAUCAAGUUCAGUGCCAAACUUUGCAAAUUGCAAUGCAGUGGAACAAGUUCUGGUCUUUCAAGUUGCCAGGGUCUGCUGGCAAGCAUGAUUACACCUCCAUGCUGAAGCAAUCAACGGUAAGGUGUUGAAAAUUUUGGAGUUCACAUGGUUGUAUUCAAGUCGACCUCUCAGAUUUUGGUGUUCUUUUCUGUGAACCAAGAAGCUCAUCCUUUAAUUUGAAUCUUUUGACUUGUUAUUUUUUCGGACAAACUGUAAUACAAUUGCUCAUGCUUUUGCCGAGUUCGGCAAAAGGGCGAGCUUGCCUAUUGUACGUGGAUUGAGCAUGGGCUGGACUUCUUAUUCGGUCUGGUUUCUAGCGACCUUGCGAAGCUAGAAGUAAUGGGAAACAUCACCAUCGUUCGAGAAAAAAGGCAUGUUAUUGUGGUUAGGGUUAGGGUUAGGGUACUUUUCGAAGGGGGGUUGUAGCCCAAUUUCGCUUCCAAGGCCCUCCGCCCCUCAACCAUACUACCGGUAUUCAGUCUAACUGCAACACGUUAGAUAUAUUGCAAGCUAAUACUAAAUUAUAGUGUUUGGGCUACUGAAGACAUACUUUAUCUUUGACUGCAAAAAUAAUGCACUAACUUGAUGGGAGCAAUUGCAUUGUCCAACUUUUUCUUAAUUAAUUAGUUUACAACUGGUUGAAUUUGUUGGAGAAGGUUGGAUGUGUUCGGCAUGUCAGUAGAGACCUAAAUUCAGUUAGUCACAUCUUAGCUAGGCUUGGUUGCACGUCGGAGUGUAUCAGAGUCUGGAUCCGUGAUGGUUACAUGUUUUUUUUUGUGUGUACAUGCAUGUUUAGGUCAAACAACCUGCUCGGCUGCUCGUGUUUUGCCAUACAACAGUUCACAUGGUAUAGAUCAGCACUUUGGAUAGUAGUCGCUGCAGCAAUGAAUGAUGCCCUGAUCUGCACUGGACUUGCGUGGAGAUGACCCACAUCAUAGCAAUGAGCUGUUGGAUGGCGGCCUAGAAGGACUUGCGUGUCCGAGUGCUUGCUUUUCUUGGAUAUAUCGAUGGAUGACCGGUUAGGCAAAGGGCAUGUCCAUCGAAUUAGAGUACUUCUGAAGAAUGCUUCAGGCGAAAUUGUGAUACUCGUCGUUGUCGUGGCUUCGUUUUGCCGGAGCUGCAGAUUCCUGAUCCAAGUGGAGCUGAGCCCACACCUCCUACCAGCAAUACGUCGUGGACGCCAGGAUUUGUUACUCGAGGAUAGUUGAAGAAAUACAACAGAAACUCCCUCUCCGUGGAGUGAUAUUCCCUAUCUUUGCAAUUACACUGACACUCCCUGUAGGAUCAUACUUCUUUUCGGUGGCCGGUGCAAGUUGAUCGAAAAUAUGAGACUGAAUUCAGAAGGUGCUCAAUAUGGAGAAAUCAAGUGUUCCAAUCAGAGAAGGCUAUCAGUUGAUACAUCAAAAUUCAGGGGGCUUGCGGGGGACACUUCAACUGGCUGUGGAGAAUUAUUUUCCUGCUUUGUUGAUUGUUUUUGUAUCAAACUGGGAUCUUUCUCUAACCAUCAUGACACUGAUACCAAUUAUCAAGCCCAAUGGAUGGAUGGAGACGAAAUUUAUCUGGGGAUUUUGUGCAGAUGCAAAGGGAGUUAUGGAUUCUCUGUUAUGAUUUUAUAUGAUGUACGAGGAGGCAAGUCCGGUGGCAGUGCACUUAUUUUCUAGAAGCAAACGGUACAAAGGACAUGCAAAUUAGCUAUGUGAAGGUGUAUAUAUACAUACCCUAUGGACGAUACAGAGGACAGAUCAAGCAAGGUGGCGACCAACGAGGAAGCCGCGGCUGUCGGCGCUGGCGUCCAUAGCUGGAUACAUUGGGGCUGCUUAGGAUCCGGUCGGACAUGGAUGCUCCCUUCUAGGUGCCUUGCCCGACGAAUAAAGUGGCGGAUAAUGGCAGCAAUUGCCGCCACUGAACGAAGACCCGAACCAUGAGGGCCAGUGUUGUCAUACCCGGCAACGACUCGCACUGCAUUGGGGGUUUUCAGAUCGAGCCAUUGUCGGUGGACAUGGUGGCGCGCCAGUUGGCUCCUGUUACAGUCAGGUUGCCAGAUGCGCCUUCUCUAGGUUGACUUGCCUCCCGGCGUCGUUGGCAGAGACGCGGGUUACACAGUGGCCACAUCGUGCGCGAGCUCGAUUGGAAGUGACGGGGACGACCAGCACCGGAGAGAAGCUAGCCAGAGGGGAGGGAAAAGAUCAAUGCACGAGCAUGGCAUGGUCAGCGUCAGACAGAUCUUCCGUCCAGAAGUUGCCUAUGUGAGUCUGACGGAUCGUGCGAUCGUGCCUCAUCUCUGGUUCAUUCCGCUGGUCACUUUGGCUGAUUUGUUUGGACUUCUCCCCUGUCACAAAUGUGGAAAUUGAGCUUCGCUGACUGCAUGAGUUCGAGUGGUCAGCUCCUGCAUAAAGAUCCAUCAGAAAUUUCCCGUAGGUCAUAGCAGAGCAUCUUUCAGUAAAAGAGGCCACGUGGAGUUAAUAACCUUGAUAUAAGGUGGAUGCACAUGGAGUCAAGCGUGAGGAGGAAUACUAUUAUAUUGAAUUCUUGAUCUGUGCUAUAUUUUCUGGUAGUUGUUGUGCUUUCAAUAAGCAUGUAUGACCUUGCAUCCUUAUAUGGUUUCAGUGAGAGAAAUAUACUGAAGGUCUCAAUAGAUUGUAUUUAUGCUUGGUUCAUUGGUAGGAAAUAGCUUACGACAUUUUUUCAGUUCUGCUUUGCCAUAAGGAGGUCAAGUAGCUUCCUCUGGCCCUCCACCUCUCCCAAGUCCAAGAGAGUCGUAUCCACGUACCAGCACCAGCAGCCCAUCAGAGCGGCUGGCAACGGCGCCUGGCGGGGAGAGUCCUUGCACGCAAUCACCUAGAGAAGGCCAUGCAACGCUAUCUCACUCGGCACCCACAAGUUUAAUUCUGGUGAUUUUUUCCCAGGUGCUCAGAUUGAUUGUUGGUGCACGGUUCAUUUGUUUUCAUGUACAGUUGGUACUAGGGAUAUACCGAGAUGGCAAUCAAAAGGAAGAGAACACGGGAUCUUUUAGUGUGAUUUGACAUGUACUUCUCUGCGUUGGGUAGAAUUAUUGCACACUUUUUUCUUCUUCCCCUCUUAUUAGGGUUGCCACUCAAUUCAAGAAUUAGGUAACUCAGGAAGAUUUGGUAGUUUUUGACCGACUUGGAAUAAGUAUGCCAAAUGUUUAGUUGUAGACCUACUAUCUCAAAUCUUCUCAAAUAUUAUUUCUUUGUUGAUCUGGUAUAGCUAUAAGAUUAUAUAUUUUACAUACAAGAGAUACAUGCCAUUCGAAUUUGGUAUACUUCCGAACAAGAGAUAUAUGCCAUUUGACUUUUUUUAAAUAUAUUUUCAAUGCCUUAAACCUUUUUCUUCCGCUUUGAAGUAAUUCACUGCAAAGUGCAUCACUUUAGCUAGAACACCCAAUCGUUUGUACUUGUGCUAAAUCGCUUCCAAUAUGGUAAUAAAAGAACAAAAAUAAUAGCAUGCUAAAUACACUUAAUAUCAGGCUGCUUAUUGGGUGUUGUUUCAUCACACAUUAGGGCAGUCAGUUAGAUGACAUAAUUGCACGGGGAGAAACUACAUGUUGUAAAAAUCACUUGCCUUCAGUGCCCUUUUUUAUAUUCAAUAAAUAUCAACAUGUAGCAAGCCGUGCCUUGCCCCGUCUUGCAAUUCUGCCCCUCCUUAGACAUUGCCUUCUUGUUCUUCUGCUGACUUCGCAUGAACUUCUCCCACUCUUGCUUCACGCAAUGUCG